GUGUCUGCUGAGAAGUGACCGUGUCCUGUUUUCUCCUGUUCUUGUGAACACGGGUCUGUCCCCAAAGAGCCAUGAAGCACUCUCUCCCUCCCCAUCUUCCACUCUUCUCACUCUGCUGCUUGUCCCUAACAGACMCAGGGUACGGGAAGAUGGCAUUGAUGACGGCAGGGGAUGUUCUUCACACUGAAGUGAUGCUAACGCAAGCUGUCCAGCACUGAGUCUCACUCGCCAGCCCUGGCACCCAGUGAAGCGGGGCUCUUCUGAAGUGGCUCUAAACUAAGAUCAGAGCUGCCACACCAGGMUGGUACCAGGAACACCGCCUGGGGCAUGAAUCCAGCUUUAGAUGGUUUAUAAGAACAAGCAGAACUCUUGCCUCCCCAUCCAGAGGAGAACGACCCAAGUGCACCCGUCGGCUAAGCUCCUGGAGGACACCGAAGACACAAAGCAGCCUCAGCACCCUUCCCGCUGGAGAGGGCAGGAGAUGUGCAGCAGGCUCCAAUUUCUGGAGAAAAUCCUGGCGGCCUCCAAAUAUGUGCCCUCGCCCUACCUCCGCAUGGAGAGGACGCAGCUUCUGUUCAGCUGGCUGUCAGCCAGCUCCACUGGUGCCAGCUAAAGCAGAUGACCGUGCCCAGAGCUGGCAUUGCUGGGCAGCCACCUUCAAGAUUAUGUCAAACGUGGAAUUCCUCAAAGUACAGUCAUCAACAUUCUUCAUGCAUUGUGGAAAUUAGAUCUUUUGGACAUUUUUUAAAAUAUCCCAAGCAAAGAUGAUAAUGAGCUACCACAGAAUCCAGGAGAUAGGAAAAGGUGAGAAAGAAAAUACUAAGAUAAGAGAACUCAUGUAUGACAAAUAAUAUUGCAAAACAAAACCUAAAUGAAUAUGAGACUGUGAUAAAAGGCUAGUUAAUAUUAUUGUUCAGGAGAAACUUAUAUUUUCUACUAGAAAAAAAUAGUAGUGGUUCAUUAACAUAAUAAGAGAAGAAACUUUAAAAAUAAAUGUGAGAUUGAAUGUGUUAUAAAAUAACUG
rnacentral:lncRNA from 1 species